AACGUAGGGGACGAGCGUUAUCCGGAUUUACUGGGCGUAAAGCGCAUGUAGGUGGCUUGAAAAGUUGGACGUGAAAGCUCCUGGCUUAACUGGGAGAGGUCGUACAAAACUAGCAAGCUUGAGGUUGGAAGAGGAGAGCAGAAUUCCCGGUGUAGUGGUGGAAUGCGUAGAUAUCGGGAGGAAUACCAGUGGCGAAAGCGGCUCUCUGGUUCAAUACUGACACUGAGAUGCGAAAGCGUGGGGAGCGAACGGGG
rnacentral:rRNA from 1 species